UUCCGCGGUCUAUAGGAACGUCAAACGCGGCCAGGAAUUGUGUUUGGGAAAACUGUUGAGAUGGAAACGGGCAAGUCAUCUCUCCGCGCCUCGAUCGAUUGAAUAUGCGAGUGGCGCGGAGAAGAUAACAAAAUAAAUCUAUCAAACGGGAUUAUAGUUAUUUUUU